rnacentral:rRNA from 1 species
CAGUAGCCGCGGUAAUACGAAGGGGGCUAGCGUUGCUCGGAAUGACUGGGCGUAAAGGGCGCGUAGGCGGUUGACACAGUCAGAUGUGAAAUUCCCGGGCUUAACCUGGGGGCUGCAUUUGUGACUGGCAAGCUAGAGUGUGGCAGAGGGGGGUGGAAUUCCGCGUGUAGCAGUGAAAUGCGUAGAUAUGCGGAGGAACACCGAUGGCGAAGGCAGCCCCCUGGGCCAACACUGACGCUCAUGCACGAAAGCGUGGGGAGCAAACAGGAUUAGAUACCCCCGUAGUCCCUGUCUCUUAUAU